GAGGUCCAGCCUGCCCAGUGAUAUUUUUCAACGGCCGCGGUACUCUGACCGUGCGAAGGUAGCAUAAUCACUUGUUCUUUAAAUGGGGACUAGUAUCAACGGCAUCACGAGGAUUUUACUGUCUCCUUUUUCCUAUCGGUGAAACUGAUCUCCCCGUGAAGAAGCGGGGAUAAUUUUAUAAGACGAGAAGACCCCAUGGAGCUUUAAACCCAGAGACACCUCAAACCUCCUUUUCCCAUAAAAGUUUCUAUGCACUGUCCUCUGGUUUUAGGUUGGGGUGACCACGGAGUAUAACUUAACCUCCACAACGCACGGAGCUUCUUCCUUAUCUAAGAGCCACAUCUCAAAGAAUUAACAUAUUAACGUAAAAUGAUCCAAUGACUUAUUUUGAUCAAUGAACCAAGUUACCCUGGGGAUAACAGCGCAAUCCAUUUCUAGAGCCCCCAUCGACAAAUGGGUUUACGACCUCGAUGUUGGAUCAGGGUAUCCUAGUGGUGCAGCCGCUACUAA
rnacentral:rRNA from 1 species